UAAGAGGUCUCAGUGGAGGCAAGCGCUGCUGAGGUGGCCAGCUCUGAGCUGUGGUGUAAGCUCCAGCAGUAAACAGUGCAAGUGGCUUUGAAACAGCCUGAAGAACUCCUGAAGAACUCUGAAGAACUCCUCUACACAGGUAGCAGCGGGAUCGCUCCAGGGCCUGCCCCUUCUGCAUGGCUCUGCCAGCGAGCUGCGGUGCUCGUCCCGCUCCGGUUUAGCCGUGCGGAGCAGCCCUGCCGAGCCCAGCACCAGGAAUGCUCUUCAUCACAGGUUUUGUGGAGUCACCUGAGAUGGAUUUUUUU